rnacentral:tRNA from 1 species
GCCUUCGGGGUGUCGUGUUCAGCAUGUUCGACUCGUAACCCAGAGGUCCGUGGUUCGAUUCCCGGCGAAAGCU